AACGCGAAGAACCUUACCCAGACUUGACAUGCAGAGGACGACAACAGAGAUGUUGUUUCCCUUCGGGGCUUCUGCACAGGUGCUGCAUGGCUGUCGUCAGCUCGUGCCGUGAGGUGUUGGGUUAAGUCCCGCAACGAGCGCAACCCUUAUCAUUAGUUGCCAACAUGUUAUGGUGGGAACUCUAGUGAGACUGCCUGGGUUAACCAGGAGGAAGGUGAGGAUGACGUCAAGUCCGCAUGGCCCUUAUGUCUGGGGCUACACACGUGCUACAAUGGACGGUACAGAAGGCAGCGAAAUCGUGAGAUGGAGCAAAUCCGAAAAACCGUUCUCAGUUCAGAUUGUAGUCUGCAACUCGACUACAUGAAGUUGGAAUUGCUAGUAAUGGCGGGUCAGCAACACCGCCGUGAAUACGUUCCCGGGCCUUGUACACACCGUACGUC
rnacentral:rRNA from 1 species